GGAGGAGCUUCCGGGAGGGAGGGAGAGAGGAGGUGUGUGUGAGAGAGUUUGUACUGUGUGUAAUACUUUGUGUUUCUUGUUUUGUGACGUGUGUGGGUUUUUUUAUUAUGAUGUAAAUGUAUCUGUAUAUGCUUUGUAUAUAUGUACAGUGUGUAUGUGUGUUGGUCUGUCCCUUUGGACUGAGUGUGUAUACUUUGUGAGUAUUACUUUUUUUUCCUGUGUUUUUUUUAGUGUGGUAUGUGUAUCCACUCAGGGUGUCUGUAUAUGCUUUGUGUAUGUGUGUGUGUGUGUGUGUGUGUGUGUGUGUAUCAGUUAGGGUUGUGUGUGUAUUUUGUGAGUGUUGCUUGUUUUUUGUGUGGUUUGUGUAUGUGUGUGGUGUAUAUUCACUCAGGAUGUAUGUAUGUGUGUGGUAUUUAUGUUGUGUCUAUGUAUGUCAGCUUGCACUAACUGUAUUCUUUCUGGGUGUUCCUCUUUUUUGGUGCAUGUGUGUUUUUGGUGUGGUGUAUAUAUAUAUAUAAAUAAAUGUAUACAUACACAUAUACAUACACAUAUACAUACACACAUACACAUACAUACACGUAUACAUAUACAUGCAUGCAUGUAUAUCCACACAGGGUGUCUCUAUAUGCUUUGUAUGUUUGUAGUAUUUGUGGGUGUGUCAGUUUGGACUGAGAGUGUGUACUUUGAGAAUGUUGCUUGUUUUGUGUAGGUGUGUUUUUUGUUGUGGUGGUGUAUGUAUCCACUCAAGGUGUCUGUAUAUGCUUUGUAUGUAUGUAGCAUGUGUGACUUAGGACUGAGUAUGUAUACUUUGUGAGUGUUGAUUGUUUUGUGUGUGUUUUGUUUGUGUGUGGUGUGUAUAUCCACUCAAGAUGUAUGUAUGUGCUUUGUAUGUAUACAGUAUGUAUGUAUCUGUGUCUGUGUGGGUCAGCUUAGAUUGAGUAUUUAUACUUUGUGAGUGUUGAUUGUCGUGUGUGUGUGUGUGUGUGUGUGUGUGUGUGUGUGUGGUGUGUAUUUGUUCCACUCAAGGUGUCUGUAUAUGCCUUGUAUGUAUGUAGUGUGUGAAUGUGUCAGUGUGGAUUGAGUAUCUAUACUUUUUGAGUGUUGUUCAUUCUGAGUGUGUUCUUGGUGUGGUGUGUAUAUCCACUCAAGAUGUCUGUAUAUGCUUUGUAUGUAGUAUGUGUCUUUCAGUUUAGUGUAUACUUUGGGAGUGUUGCUUGUUUUGUGUAUUUUUUGCGUGGUGUGUAUUUCAACUCAAGGUAUCCAUAUGCUUUGUAUGUAUGUAUUGUGUAUGUGUGUUUGUGGAUUUAGUGUGUAUACUUUUUGAGUGUUGCUCAUUUUUUUGGUGUGGUGUGUGUAUCCACUCAGGGUGUCUGUAUUUGCUUUGUAUGUAUGUAGUAUGUGUUUACAUGUAGGUGUCAGUUUGGAAUGUGUAUAUUUUGUAAAUGUUGCUUGUUUUGUGUAUUUUGUGUGUGGUGUAUCUUUCAACUCAAGGUGUCUAUAUGCUUUGUAUGUAUGUAGUGUGUAUGUGUAAGUGUGGAUUGAAUAUAUAUACUUUGGGAAUGUUCCUCAUUGUGUGUAUGUGUGUGUGUUUUGGUUGUGGCUUGUGUGUCCAAUCAAGGUGUCUAUAUAUGCUUUGUAUGUAUAUAGUGUCUGAAUGUUUGUAUAAGUGUGUGCAUGUGUAGGUCAGUUUGGACCCAGUAUAUACACUUUGUGAGUGUUGCUUUUUUGUGUGUGUGGUUUUUUUGGUUUGUUUAUCUACUAAAGGUACCUCUGUAUGCUUUGUAUAUAUGUAGUGUGUGUGUGUGUGUGUGUGUGUGUGUGCGCGUGUGUAUCUGUCAGGAUUGAGUGUGUAUACUUUGUGAGUGUUUCUUGGUUUGUGUGUGUGGUUUUUUGUUGUUGUGGUGUUUGUAUCCAAUCUGAGUGUCUGUAUAUGCUUUGUAUGUAUGUAGUAUGUGUAUGUGUAUUGGUGUGUCAGUUUGGAAUGCAUAUGUGUAUUUUGUAAAUGUUGCUUGUUUUGUGUGUGUGUGUUUGUGUGUUUAUCCAUUCUGAGUGUGUGACAUCUUGGGAUGUUGUGUGUUUUUGUAGGUUGUGCUUCUGUGUGAUGGACUGAGAAAGAGCUGCAAAAUGGCAGAAGUGACCCAACAUUCAUGGCAGUUGGCCUGCUGCCUUACUUCCCUGAGUAUGGGGCAGGGAGGGGAUUUUUUUGGCCUGGCCACAUACAUGUCAGGUCCCAAACAGUAUGUGGACCACGACUCCAGACUCCCAGGCUAGCCUCUCCUAGCUUUAGGGUUGGGAGGGGGGAGGGGGGGUGCCUUGGCUUCUGGAUAAGAGCCCCACCCACCUCCCUUAAUUUCAGGCUGGAAUCCCCAUGCUGACAUCAUUGAUUGAGUCAUUGGGUUCUUGCAGGGAAUGCAGAUGCUCUCUUGUCUAAUCCCUUCAGUUUAUGAAUGAGGGAACUGAGGCCUUGGGUAGUCCUUCUGACAUUAAGCCUUAAAUUACUUUGUAUAUAUUUAGUGUUAGUGUGCCCACACCCCCUCCCCCUCUGUAAAAUGCAAUCCCUUUGAGAACAGGGAUUGUUUCUGUGUUUGUUGCCCCCUGUGCCCAGCACAGUGCUUGACACAUAAUAGGUACUUUGUAUGAAAACUUGGUGCAUGCACCAGUGAAAGUGAUUUGUCUCAGGUCCCACAGGUUGGAAAAAAUGGCCAAGGCAGAAUCAACAUGUGAGUCUCCUGACAGAAGAUCUCAGGAUCUCCGUCAAUCGAUUGCAGACAUUCAUGAGAGCUUCCUGUCACCUGUUGGAUUCGUACUGAACUUCACUGGCAAAGUGUGGAUGAGUUGAUAUGGAAAGAGUACAUUCUGUUACCUGAUAGAUAAACCCCCCACAGAUUCAAAUUAGGGACCAAAUCUUCUCCCCCUUGCCCUGGAUAUUCCAGUGUUUGUGUGCACACAGAACAAACAAUUCACUAUGAAGGGAUAUUACCCACUGUAAAAGAUCUGGUCCUGCCUUGCUGAGCACAACAUUCCUUUCUACUGUAGACAGAACUUAGAGUCUGGAGUUAUAGAGUUUGGGUUCAAAUCCUGCCUCUGAUGCUUUUCACCAAUGACAAUUUGAACAAGUCCCUCAGAUUUUCUGGGCCUCAGUUUCCAGAGCUGAGGUCCUUCCCAGCUCUAGAUUUGUGACCCUAUGAUUUUACAUAUGAAUUCUUUAAAAUCAUGAAGCUAUAGCAUUUUAGAAAUGGGCCAGGCCCCAGGCCUUUAAAUACCUCAUGCAGUUUGAGAGAAUUGUGGAUCUACUGGAUAGAUAUUUUUUGAAAAUUAGGUGCAUCUCCAUACCUGAAUACUACAAAAAUUAACACCUUUCUCUCCUUAUCCAUCUAGGAGUUGGAAAAGUAAGGGUCCUGCUUGGGUAAGAUUUGAUACGAUUAGAGGAAGGGGAAGUGGAGGGAGAGGAACCAAGAAAUACAGUGUCUUUAAUCCACUGAGGAACUGCUGAAGAUUAUGGACUAAUUCUCUUCAAUUUUCCUUGAUCUAUAUAGGGAGUGACAGCAAAGGAAAUUCACUGGAUUGCAUCAGGUUUCUGGUAGUUUGCUGUAUGUGUAAGUUUAACCAGAUUAGUAUGUGUUCAUCCUAAAACUAGGUUCUGUUUUUUAAAAACAACCUUCAAUCCUGAAGUGCUCCUGCUUCUCACUGCUGUUUGUUUUUCCCUGUUUCGUUUUGUUCGAAGACAGUGAAGCUUCAGAGAAUAGUAUCACAAAAAGGAAAGUCCAAGAAAAUGAAGCCUGGGAGCCUUACACAAACAACUUGAGUACUGUUCCAUUCUUUGACCCAACAGCCAGCACCUUUCCUGACACCGAGUAAAAAAGAAUCACCCGUAUUUUACUAUACCUAAUUCCAUUGGCUAGAUUUUGUUUUCAUAUGGGCCAGUGUGAGUCCAGGAUUUGAUAUGUACCUUUUUUCAGGCUAAUAUGUUUAUUCCACAUUAAUACAGUGAUGCCUCCACUAAAAUCCUCCCCCUCUAUUUUUAAGCCCUCACCUUCUGUCUCAGAAUCAAAACUGUAUAUUGGUUCCAAGGCAGAAGAGUGGUAAGGACUAAGCAAUGGAGGUUAAGUGAUUUGCCUAGAGUCACACAGCUAGGAAGUAUCUGAGAUCUGAGGUCUGAUUUGAACCCAGGACCUGCCAUCUCUGGGCUUGGCUUUCAAUCCACUUAGCCACCUAGCUGCCCCUUUUAGUAUCAAUUCUAAGACAGAAAAGCCACACAAGCUAGGCAUUUGAAGUUAAGCGACUUGCCUAGGGCCACACAGCUAGGAAGAGUCUUAAGUCUGAACCUAGAUCCUCCCAAUUCCAGGCCUGACACUCUCUUCCAGGCCUGUGCUACCUAUCUGUCCCUUUGGUUGUCUAUUCUAGUUUAGAAGUGAUCCUGUCUUCUCAAAAGGUAUGCCAGCUAGCCAUAAACUCUGGUAGGCCCAAAUAAUCUGUAAAAGGGUCUUUAAUCUGAUAGUGAGAUUAUCUGAUAAAUUCAGAUAGUCAUAGAAAGCUAUAAACCCAGUGAUAUGAAUAUUUUGGACCCAGCUAUUUAUGAUAGUUAUCCCUGAAGAUAUAGAAGGUUCAUGAUCUUCGGUAGAGACAUUGCCAACACCAGUGGAUCUUUGGAAGUAACAAAGCUUCAUUUCUCUGGAACUUUGUUUCAGAUUUUCCGAAUGUUGUGAGGGGCUAAAACUAAAAGAGAAUUUUUUUCAACCCUUACUUUUCUGUCUUAGUAACAGCUCUUUGACAGAAGGACAAGCCCAGGUAGGUAACUGGAGUUAAUUGACUUGGCUAGAGUCUGAGGCCAGAUUUGCCAAACUUAAACAUUUUUAUUGAAAAUCUUUCUAGAUUAUGUUACACUCUGUUCUGCUUUGGACAUACAACUUGGGGACUAGGAACUUUGAUACAUGAAGGUAUCUGUGACCUUCAGUGAGCUAGAAGUUAGUGGAUGAAUACAUUUGUAUGAUAUAUGUUUGCCUGGGUGAUUUCUCUGUAAUUGAAAGCAAUAGAGCUGUUGACCCAGCAUGAGUUUCAUCUUUAAGAAGGCAUCACUAUAAUUAAAUGCAACAAGAAUUUAUAAAGUACAUUCUAGGAGCCACGCACUAUGCCAGACUGGCCAGGAAUGGGCUUCUUUUCUGGAAAGAGACUAUAGGUAUAGCUAUACCAUGGAAUUCCUCUGUGGGAGUGGGAGGAACAGAAAUGUUGGAUAGGCAUGGACUCCCUUUUUGAAAAGAAGAAAAAUCUUACGGUAUUUUAGAAAUGGUGCUAUUCAUAAUAACACAACCUUUUCUUGAUGACUUGGGGUGGGGCAUGAGGGUGAAGAAGAUUUGGAUCCCAGGAGAUAUUCUGGAACUUGACUCCUCAACAAGGUUAGUGGUAUUAGCUUGCUUUGGGGUUAUUUGCCUGUUUCUCAUAAAAGUGGCAUAAAAGACAUUACAUUACCUUCAGGUAGUAUGUGCAUGCACGCGCAUGCGCGCGCGUGUGUGUGUGUGUGUGUGUGUGUGUGAGAUGGAUAUAAAACGAAUUAUUGAAUUUCUUAUAAUAAUUACUGAAUACCAAAACAAUCUGUUCCCAAAUGGCUUCACAGGCCCUGAGGGGGAAAAAAAACAUCUUCUUCUAAAGAAAAACCAUUUGUUAAAUGUCUACUGGAUGAAAGACACUGUACUAUCCUUUAAUUUCCUGGCAGCCUUCAAAAGUUAUUAUACCUGCAUUACCACUAAAUCCUUAAGCACUCUCUUUGUCAACUUUGUCUUCCCCAUUUGUGUGUCUUGAAUUAAGUUUAUUGAUAACAGAAGGAACAUUCCUGAUCACUUUUUUUAAUUUUAAUUUUUUUAAUUUUUAAAACCCUUAUCUUCUGUCUUAGAGUCAAUACUGUGAGUUGACUCCAAGGCAGAAGAGUGGUAAGGGCUAGGCAAUAGGGGUUAAGUGACUUGCCCAGGGUCAUACAGCUGGGAAGUAUCUGAGGUCAGAUUUGAACCUAGGACCUCCAGUCUCUAGGCCAGGCUCUCAAUCCACUGAGCCACCCAGCUGUCCCCUCAUUUAUUUUUUAAAAUAAAUUUACUAUUUCCCUAUUCCUUCCCCUUCCGUCUCUUCUUACAGAGAAUCAAAAAAGAGGAAAAAGACGACUUCAGCAAAAUUAAGCAACAUCUCCACCGAGUUCAACAUACAGUGUUCCACACCCAUAGUUUCCCUCCCCUUUCUGCAGAAAAGGAAGACAUUCUCAUUCUUUUUCUUGGGAGUGGCCUUUAUAAGACUCAUUUUUCACUUGUCAUUCCAUUUACAUUGCUGUAAUUGUGUAUUUUUUCCAUUUUUUUAAGUAAUGUGUUGAAUUUUUGAUAUGCUUUUUCCUCUUAAUGAUUAAUUUUAUUGACCUUUUUUUCUAUGUUGCUUAAUUUCCCUUUGUAUUUCUCUCCUUCCCAUAGAGUCAUCUCUUAUACCAUUCUUUUAAAGAAGAGGAAAAAAAUUCUUCAAAGUUGGUUAACACAAUGAAAAAACCUGAUGUUUACUGCAGAUGGUCCCCUACCUCUGCAAAGGAGUGAGGGUGGGGAGGGAAGGGAAGGGAAGCUGGCUUUUCAUAUUUUUUCAUAUUUGGGGGUAACAAGCUCCUUCGUUAUAGGAUUUGGCUUCAUUUAUUUUGUUGCUUGUUCUAUCCAUUUCCAUUGCUGUGUAGAUUCUUUUCCUGGUCUAGUUUACUUCACUUUGUAUCAGUCAGAUCAAUCUCUUCCCAUGCUUCUCUCAAUUCACCACAUUCAUCAUUUUUAGUAAUAUAGGAAUGCUCCAUUUCAUUCAUGUUCAAUUUGUUUAGCCAUUCCUCUCUUGAUGAGCAUCUGUUUUAUUAUCAGUUCUGUACAUCCACAAAAAGCAUUUCUAUAAAUAUUUUGGCUUCUCUGGAUUUUUUUCCAAAUCUGUCUUACUUGUGGGUACAUGCUUAGCAGUGCCAUCUCUGUGUCAAAAGUUAUGGACAUUUUAGUCACUUUCUUAGCAUCAUUCUAAAUUGCUUCCCAUAAGGGUUGAACCAAUUCACAACUCUACCAACAGUAUAUUAGUGUUCUUGUCUUUUGUGUAGUUCUUUAACAUUGACUAUUUUAAACUUUUACCAUCUUCAUCAAUUUUCUGUUUAUGAGGUAAAACCUUAGGGUUUGUUUUUGCAUUAUUAGUGAUUCAGAGCAGUGUUUUCAUAUAGUUGGUUAUAGCUUGCAAUUCUUUUGAGAAUGGUUUGUUAAUUUCUUUCAACCAUUUAUCUAUUACAGAAUGGUUUCUCAUAUAUAUUUGUUAGUUCUUGAAUACCAAACCCUUAUAGGAGAUAUUUGAUGCAAAAAAUUUCCCCCUGAUCUACAGCUUUCCAUCUCCUAGUUUGUUUAUUUUGUUUGAAUAAAAGCUUUUCAAUUUCCUCUAAUCAAAAUUAUCUGCUUUACCUUUUGUGAUCUCUUUAUCCCUUACUUAGAUAAGAAUUCUUCUUCUAGUCUUAGCUGUGAAAGGACCUGAUCUCUUUUUCUGACUCCUAAGGAAUUUGUGAUCAUUUCAAGAAUCUGUGUGGAUGUACUUGGGAGAGGGCUUACUAUAAAACUUAUUGAGUCUUUAUCACAAGAAGGUAUUACUGUAGAUUUGACACCAGACCAUAAUUUUCUCCAUCCCCUUUUUAAAUAAUUUAUUUUUAACAAUUCCAGGCACAAGCAAUGUUAACAUUACAUCUUUAGUCUUAAAUGACAGCAAAAGUCCUGGAGAAGUCCCUAUUCUAAAAGCCCCAUCAUAGUGGUAGUAAAGAACUGUAUUUUCCCGUUGGAAAUGUUAGAAUGUGGAGUAGAGUGCCUGAUCAAAGAUUGCUCAUUAAAUAAAUCACAUAUACACCCAACACUCUGGGAGAAAAUCAAAGAUUCAUCAAUUAAGCCUCAGUAAGCCUUUGAAAUAGUGAGAUUAUGUUCCACUUCCUAUAAAAAGUUACAGAAACACAUAAUGCACAUGGUUUACAGAUGGACCCCAGUGGUUCUAUAAAGCUCCCUAUGCUACACAGAACUCUGCUGUGCCAUCAAUUUGAAUUUAAAAUUAUUUUGCUGCUAUAAUAAGCAUUAAUUAUUGCCUUAAUAAUUUUGUUGCUGCUUAAAAUACAGAAAGGCUUUGGAGGGACAAUUUAGGUGGCCUAGGUCUUUGAAAAUCUUUCCAAGAUCAUUUGAGCAUCAGCCUUUAAGUUCCUUAUAACAAAUGGAGGCAUACAUAAUUAUAGAUGUACCCCCAAAUAAGGGAAAAAGACCCUUCAAAAUACACUGUUGUAUGUGUGUAUAUAUUUAUCUAUAGAUAAUUUACAUGUGUAUAAUUAUAUAUAAUAAUAUAGAUAAUAUAUCUAUUUCUAUAUAGAUAAUUUAGAUAUAUGUUUAUCUAUAAAUAUAGAUUUAUGUAUCUUAAUGAUAAUGUUUCUCACUGAUAAGCAUUUUUAUGGUAAGGACUCUCUCAACUUUCCUUCCCUCCCCACUCUUCUUCCUUUAGUUUAUUCAAAACUACAAAUACUGAUGGUUUCAUCCACCUUGAUAUCUGUGAAACCCCUGUUGCUUUGAUCAGCUUCCUUUUCUUGCCUUUGCUUCCAUGAUGUUGAACUUAAAAAAUAGAUUUUUAUUCCCAUCUUCAGUUUUUACAUCCCGUAGCUUUCCCUCUGCAUUCAUUCCCCAUCCAUUGCCUCUCCCAAAAAGCUAUUCUUUACAACAAAGGGUUUUUUAAAGACAGGGAAAAAGGAAGAAACUAAAAUUUAGUCAAACCAAUCAACACACAUUAAAAAAAUCUGAUGUUAAAAGCAGUGCUCCACAUGUCAGAGACCUUGGAGGGGGAUGAAGAAGAGGUGUUCUCAUAUCACCUUCUUUGGGGCCAAGUUUGUUCUUUAGAGUUCUGCAACAUUGGUUUUUCCCGUGUUGUGAUGGUUGCUCUUUCUGUUUUCAUUGUUUGCACAUAUUUGUAUAUUGUUCUCCUGACUCUGCUUAAUUUUCUCUACAUCCAUUCGUAUAAGCCUUUCCAUUUUUCUCUCAGUUCAGCAUGUUCAUUAUUUCUUACAGCACAGUAAUAUUCCAUUACAUCCAUAAACCACAAUUUGUUAGCCAUGUCCCGAUUUAUGAACAUCUACUUUUUUCACCAGUUCUUUGCUACCACAAAAAAUAUUGUCCUAAAUAUCUUGGCACGUGGGGGGGGGGCAGGCUUGUUUUUUAUUUUUUAUCCUUUAUCUAUAUGUUCUGCAGACGAAGCAUGCAUUCUGUUCUGUCUCCACUUCUUUUUCUCUCUUUAAUCUGUCCUUGGCCCUUUUCCCCCUCCUUCAAGUAUCCUCUUGAUUUCUAUCUAUUUCAAUGGAUUCAAUUGUAAUUUCUAAGCUCCUGCCUCUGUCUCUGGCCCCAGUCACUCCUAAGAGGGUUCGUUCUGUACUUCUCUCCACCCGCAUAUGUGUCUGGCACUUGAGAUGCAACGUGUCCAUAACAGAAUUAACCAUGUUUCCUUUAAAAAUCUAUUCUUCCUCCUAAGAUCUUUAUUUUUCUUUAAGCCCCGUAGUCUUAAAUCUUGAGUUAUCCUUGCCUUCUCCCAUUCUUUAAUGAUUUUGCUGCCCCAGCACCAUCCAGUUAUAGAAAGAAAGGAUUUCAAAGCUGUAAAGCACCUUAGAACUGAGGCCCAGAAAGGGGAAAUCACUCACUGGCUGCUAGGUGGUGCAGUGAACAGAGUUUAGACCUAGAAGCAGGGCUUAGACCCAAGUUGAAAUUCAAAUUCGGCCACUUCCAGGCUGUGUGAUCCUGGGCAAGUCACUUAGGCCCCAUUGCCUAGUCCUUGUUACUCUGAUACUAAGACAGAAGGUAAGAGUUAAAAAGAAGAAGUAGCUUAAAAAAUCUUUCUGCAAGUUUUAAUGACUUUUUUUUUCACAUUUAAUAGCAUUCAAAUGCUCUAAGACUUUUGGGACACCCUGUAUUUUAAUAUAAUUGGUUCUUUUCUUAAUCCUAACACAUUUUAUUUUAUGAAUUUAAAAAUAUUAUUCUGAGUCCCUCCAUUUAUCAGAUUACCAGAUCUCAAGGGAUCCAUGAUGCAAAAAAAAAAAAAGCUCAAGAACACGUGUACUAAAGGCUUUUGUUGGAAGAGAGCCAUUACCAGAGUGGUCCAUUAAGAACCCUUUUGGGUUAGUGGUUUGAAGGCUGGACACAAGGGAAAGACUGGAGGCAAGAACAGUCAGGAAGCGACUAUUCUAAUGAUCUAAGUAAGAACUGGGGAAAUCAUCACUAGGGCUGAUAUAUUGAAUUUAGACCCAUUUUUUUAAACCCUUACCUUCUGUCCUGGAGUCAAUACUGUGUAUUGGCUCCAAGGCAGAAGAGUGGUAAGGGCUAGGCAAUGAGAGUUAAGUGACUUGCCCAGGGUCACACAGCUAGGAAGUGGCUGAGGCCGGAUUUGAACCUAGGACCUCCCGUCUCUAGGCCUGGUUCUCAAUCCACUGAGCUACCCAGCUGCCCCCUAGACCCAUUUUUGAUAACAGGGAGGGGAAUAUUGGGAAAUGAUCAUGAUGGGAACAAAUCAUCAAUGAAACUUUAAAUAAAUGCAUUUUUAAAAACUAGGCUCAAAAAAUAAAAAGAAAAAAAGGUUGGAUAAAAGAGCUACUACUAAGGUAGAAUCAAUUAGAAAAAUUGAUGGGAAAAGCACUGAACUGGAAGUCAGGACUCCAGAAUUCUAACUUUGGUUCUGCCACUAACUAGAAUGAUCCCCUUGAACAAGUAAUAGUAAUAAUAAUAAUAGUUUAUAACUAACAUUUAUAUAAUGCCUGCUAUGUGGCUGGCCUCCAGGUCUGGAGCUCUACUCACUGCUACCUACCUGUCCCUGUACUUUUUAUUCAAGAUUAAAAAUUUGCUAUGACAUUUGAGAAACCCUGCAUAGCUAUCAAUUAAAAAGAAAGAUUAGACCCUUCAGGUUAGGAGCCCCUGAUUUUAUGGUUCCCCAUUGUUUUAUUGAAUAAAAUCUUCCUCAUUCUAGCAUCCCUAAAACCACCAUCUGAGCCUGUUGAAAUCCUUACUUCUAAGUCCAACUCAGAUGCUACUCCUAGAAUCCUAUUCUGAUUCAUCCAAUUGAAUGUGACCUCCCCCAAUCAUAUCUCUCCUAGUGCUUUGCUGGGAUGGCUCCUUUGUUCUUUUGCCCCAUUCUGCCUUGUUACAGAUAUCUUCACCUCUGUUCUCCAAUGGGCUCCAAUGUAAGUUCCUUUGUAGUCUUCUCACAGAGCAUGGUACCCUGAUCAUAGUAACCACUUGGAAAAGAUUUGGUCAACUGAAUGACAUUAUAUCAAGCUACCUUUUUGCUUCAAAACCUGGCCCCCUCCUUCCUUUCCAGCCUUCUUCCAUAUUCCUCACCUAUUGGCCUUCUGGCUCUUCCUCACCCAUAUUCAUCUUCUAUAGCUGUGCUUUUGCCUCAACUAUUCCCUGAGCUUCGAAUACUCUUCUUCAUUAUCUCUACCUCAAAGGAUUCCUCUCUUCAAGACUCAGCCCAACACCAUAUCCUGCCACUGGGCUUUUUCUUGUGUCUUUGAUCCCCUUGGUAGUCUGGUGAAGUCUAUGGACCCUUCUCAUAAUCAGGUCUGUUGCCUACAUUCAUAACUGAAGGACCUGCUGAAUUAAAGAUGUAUUUUUUCCCAUCCACAUUUAGGAAUCCCCUGAAAUCCAUCCAUGGAUAGAGGCUCUUGGCCGAGAGCCUCUGUUCUACAACAAGCCUUUCUUGAUCCCCCCAACUAUUGGUGACCUUUCUUCCUAGAUAACCUAUUUAUUUCAUCUUUAUUCCAUAUGUGCAUUAGGUACACGUUGUCUCUUGAUCACAUUUAAGCUCCUAGAAGGCAGGAAUUGUUCAUUUUUGCCUGUGUCCCUAGUGCCUGACUCAGUGCCUGGUACACAGUAGGCCUUUAAUAAAUGUCAUUGGUCGAUUUCUCUAAGUAUGAACACAAGUAAGAAUGUAAAAAAAUUGUAAUGCACAAUAGUUCUAUAAACUCCUACAUGUUUCAGUCUAUUCCAACAAAAGGUCUCUGUUCUAGCCAUUUGGGGGGUUUUAUUUUCAUUGUUGACCCCAGGAGAAUCAAUGGAAUCUUUGUAUUCAGUUUAAUUUUCCAUAUUUGGUUAGAUUUUCAAAGUGCCAUUGUGUUUGGAGAUAUUCCCUUUAUCACCCUCAAAUUAUAAUAAUAGUAAUAAAGCAGUAAGGGAAGAUGAUUGGAAACAUAACACACAGCCACUGUUCCAGUGUAAGGAAGGCAGGUACCAUGGGAGGUAGAUGUUUCUUGAAUACAUGGGGCCAUAGGAUCUAGAGCUAGCAGGUGUAGUUGGAGUUCAUUAGGCCCAAUGCCUUCAUUUGACCCAUGAGGGAACUGAGGAGCAGUCAAGUCACCUCACAGAAACUGAUAGUUGAAAGGGACACAUGAAGCCAUUUAGCCCAACCUGUAUUUGAGCCAGAAUUUGCUCUAUAAUAUCCCUGACAAAUGGCCAUCUGGACUUUGAUCGAAGGUCAUUGAAGGGGAACCUAUGAAUCGGGUCCUAGAUCUAUAGAUGAAAAGGGCCUCAGAAGCCCUCUUAUCUAAGCCUCUCAUUUCACAGGUAGGGAAAGUGAGGCCCAGGAAGUUUAGGUGUCUUGCCCAAGGUCACAGAGGCAGGAUUUAAAUCCAGGUCCUCCAAGUCCAGAGUGAGUGAGUAUUUUUCCCCCAGCUAUACCACAUGGCCUCUCAUUUUACAAAUACCCUAUUUAUUACUUACCACUUUGGGUUCACUCUCUUAGGAAGUUUUUCCUAAUUUAAUUUCCAGAUUUAAUCUGCCUUUUUUAUAGUUUCUAUACUCCAGGUCACAUAGGGAGUAACUAGCAAAAUCUGAGUCCUUGAACUUCAGAUCAAAAAAUCCAAGGGAUGGGGAAUUUGGUGGUUUGGGAAUAUUUUAUAAACAUCUUGUAAAAUUUGGCCUGUGGCAUUUCAAUUGUUUCUUGCACUUAACUCUGAUUUACUGGUGAUUUCUUGACUAAAACCCUAAUUAUUUGUGAGUUGUAAGUUCCCCGUCAGCUCUCUUGCCCCUCUGGACCUCCUCUCACAAUUGUGCCUUCCUUUCAUAUCCCAUUCUCUAGUUCCUUGGAGAGAACCUUUCUUGAUUGUCUGUUCUUCUUUAUCCAGGAAGAUUUCAUGGACUUGUUCCUUUUCUUGGCUAGCUUUUGAAAUUUCCCUGAGUGCUUUGGGGCUACUUUGUUCCAAAGCCCCAGCUACUGCUUUGACCCACAGGAGGAAAUAAAUGUUGUCUCAUACCUCCUGAGAGCUUGGUUCAUGCCCAUCACUUGGGGCUAUCUGGGAUAACUUCCACUGAACCUGUAUAAAGAAGAGCUUCUCAGAAUAAAGGACAACUUUUAUGACAAUGCCCUCUUCUACAUCCUCCUUUAGGGUUUGCAGAAUAGCCCAGUGUCUGCUGAGCCUCAUCUUUUCAACCAUUCAGGCCUGUCCCUCUAAUACAAUGUGAAAUACCAGGGUUUUCUCUUCUUUGUAUGAUCUUGCUUUCCUUGAAUGCAUUUUUUCUGGGGUUUUUGAGUCUCUUGCUCCAGGAGGAAAGAGUAAACUAUAUAUGACUAUCAGAGAUUUCUAAUAAAUCUUUGAUUAUUGCACUUUUUAAAUCCUUUCUAUUGUCUCCUCCUCUUCUCCAUCUCCCUUUCUCUCACCUUAAAUAACUUCCCCUCCCUUCUCUCCAAUGGAGACUUGGACUCUAAUGUUUCUGCAAUUUCUAGGGAAAAUUUUUGUUAAAAUUUCUAGUCAACAUUCUUUUCCUCUCCACUAAAUGCCCCAAACUUAGAAGACACUUAAAAAAAAAUUACAGAACUUUUGUUCACCAGGUUCAAAAUGUCUGUUUACAUGUGAGAUUUGGGGCUUGUGUUUAAAUCAAAAGCACAUUUUUCAAAGAAUACAAUCCUAUUCCUCUCCUCAUUGUGGAAAAGCAUCCCUCAUAAUCAAAGAGUAUGGAUUGUGAAUAUAAUUUUAAAUUCCUUCUAGCAAGAGGAGAGAUUUAUUUAUAAAUUACAGUAUUUGUGAACCCUGUGAUAUUGCUUGAGCUUUGCACAUCUCAAGUGCAGGUUUUCUUUUUGACUUUUUGUUCUCUAAAAUUUGAUUGCUAUAUUGCUGUUUUUCACCCUUUAUAAAAAGAGUUAUAGUAAGUAAUUCAGCAAUAUGAAAUGUUUACUUGUUCGGUUUGUGAAUGCAAUUCAGUAUUAUGCAAUAAAUUUGCUUUUUUAAUUUCCAAACCUAGCAGUAAAAUAGAUUUGCAUAGGCACUGUAAUGAGUGGUCUAUGCAAUUACAGUGGAGAGGGCUAGGAUUGAGUUUAACAUCUUUCAAAGGAAAUUAUUGUUGGAGCUAGAAGUACUGGUGCCUGAAACCGGGUGGAACAUGAAGUUGGUCUGGCUCUGAAAAAUCACCUCUCUUGGGUGUAAAGACAAGAUAAUGCACCUUGAUUAUAUUCUCUUUGGAAAGAGCAUAUGAUUUGGAAUCAGGAAACCUGGGUUCAAAUGCUGCUUCUGCCACUUACUAAUUGAUCUUACCAAGACCUUUAAUUUCCAUCUCUGGGCCUCAAUUUACUCUUCUGCCUUUCCAUCUUUUAAGUUCUGUGAUGUAGGGAGCCCCAAAUGAUAAGCAGAAUAGUGUAAAGGACUUGAAGUCAGGGAGACUUGGAUUCAAAUCCCACCUCAGACACUUCCUCUGUGACUCUAGGUGAGUCAUUGAACUUGUUUUUCCCAUCUGAAAAUCAGAGGUUUUGACUCAGUGGCUGCUGAUAUGAUAUCUGAAAGUGGAUGCCUGGAGAAUGCUUCAGAAAAGAGGCCUCCUUUGUCUUUAUGAGACAAUGAUAAGGACUGGACUGUUUCUCAUAGUGCUCCCUCUUGACUAAAUGAAUUCCCUUCUCUUUUCUUUAAAAGUUGUAAAAACAGAAGAGCAUUAUUCGAAAAUAGCUUCUGAGUCAGGAAGCCAGGCGUAUGUUAUGACAGUGAUGUAGAUGAUUGAGUCCGUCCAUGAUUUACCUGGGUGUACAGUGGUGGCCAGUGACUUGGUAUCCUUCAUUAUUUUUGCAUUCAGUCAAGAAAAGAAUGGAAAACAUCCAUGCUUACACAUUUCCCCCAAUGUCUAAGCCUUUACUGACUCGCAGAGGCUUAUAAUUUCAUCCAAAGUCCUUAUCACUGCUCUGCUGACCCUGUGAAUUCAGAGCAAACCAGAGCAUGCCUGGAAGAUUUCCAUGGGACGUGGUACCAUUAAAGACCAAAUUCUUGAUUACGUGGAUGUAGAAACUGCCCUUUAAUAAUAUAAAGGAGGCGGGAAGCUGCUGAUUCUCAUCCAGCCAAGGCAGUAUGAGGUAGUUAUCACAGACUUUCUAGAACAGUGUAAUUCACAUCAAAAAGCUUGAGCCAGAAGAAAAAUAAUAGCUGACGUCUAUUAGGCCCUUCAUCAAUGAGUGUUUAUUAGGUGUGUGCUGUGUGUGCUAGGUGCUGGGGAUCAAAACACAAAGGGAAGCAAUCCUGGCCCUCAAGGAGCUUAGAGUCUACCUGGAGGAGACAUUGCAUGCACGUAUGUAUAUAUGUAUGUAUGUGUAUGUAAAACAUGAAGACACAAGGCAAGAAAUGCACACAGGUACGUACCUCCACGUAUUCAUGUAUGUCACAUAUGUCAUCUUGUGUGUUCUAUAUACACACAUGUAUAUCAUCUUGGAUGUUAUGUAUUCCUAUCUAUAUACGCAUGUGUACAUAUAUAUGAUCUUACGCAUUUUCUUUUGCACACAUCUCACCGCAUAUAAUAUACAUGUGUGUAUUAUACAUACAUAUCACACAAAAGUUUCGCCAAGUGCAUUACAUGCAUUAUCUGAUUUGAGCCUCAUGACAACUGGGGUAGAUGUUGUUUUCAGAUAAUGGUGAAACAGUCUGAGAGAAGUAAGUAGUAGGCCUUGGCCAGGCUUACUCAGCUUGGGAAGGUCCAGGCCUUCAAGGAGCCUUCAAGUUCUUUGGCUCCCAAACCUCCCACUGGAAGUAAGGAAAUGGAGGCUUAAGGAGACACGGGGUGACUUGCCCAAAUCACACCGCUGGUUACUAACUGAGCAGAGAUUGAACCUCAGACCUUCUGACUCUUAAGUCAGCCAAGUGAAAUGAGCUUGACAUCCGCUAGUGGAGAAAAAGCCCAAUCAGACUUCUGUUUCCAACAUAAUAUAGGCCCUUGGGGAUUCUGCUUAUGAGAACUUCUGGUGACAUUUUUAAAGGGGCUGCUGGGUAAAAGCAAUUAGUUGCCUGCUUUCAAAGCUGAUGAAAUGCAAGUGUCCAUCCCAAACACUUGCUUGAUAAUUGCCACACGACAUGCACUGGAAGGAAACCUACAACUGAUCUCCAUCCACUCUGUUCAAGUGCUGUGAAAUGAGCACCCCAAAUGAUGUGAUGCAGAGACCCUGCCCUAGGAGCCUCUUCCUGUUCAAGCUAUAUGGCUUGAAUGCACUUCACCUUGAGGAAGCCUGGUUCCCUCCCUAUAAGCUGAGGCCAAUAAUGCCCAUAUUUCCUAGCUCACAUGGAGGGCUCCUAUUAGGUGAGUACUUCAUAAUCUUUAUUUUUUUUAAAACCCUCACCUUCUGUCUUAGAAUCAAUACUAUGAAUUGGUUCCAAGGCAGAAGAGUGGUAAGGGCUAGGCCCAGGGUCACACAGCUGGGAAGUGUCUAAGGUCAGAUUUGAACCUAGGACCUCCCGUCUCUAGGUCUGACUCCAGCUGCCCCACUUCAUAAUCUUUAAAGCACAAUAGAAAUGUGGUAUGGUGGUGGCAGCAAGUCCCUUGGCCCUUGGGAAGAGUCUUUAAACUCCUUUAAAGUAAAAUAUUUGCCUUAAGAAUACUUCAUCAAGUCCAGCUUCUCCAGCCUCUAACAUUCACCUUUAUAAGCAUGGCAUCAGGGACAGUCCAGUCAGCUGGCUGGAAAUAAGGUUCCUAUUAUGUGCCAGGCAAUGUGCUAAGCACUCAGGAUACAAAGAAAGAAAAGAAGCAUUGGACUUGGAGCCAGAAGUUCAAAUGUUGCUUUGACAUUUAUUAGCUGUGUUUAACCAUGGUCAAGUUGCUUUUCCUCUGUGAACCUUUUUUCACAUCUGUAAAAUGGGUAUAAUAAUUUAACAACCUCCCCCACAGGAUCCUUGAAGGGAAAGUGCGUCAUCAACCUUUAUGCAUCAUAAAUGUAUGAGGAGAUCUUAUCAUUUUCAGAUUAGGAAGUACAUAUGCUAAGAUGAAAGAAUUCCUUACCAAGUUGUAGAGAUUCCAUGCGCUGAAAUGAUCUGCUAAUGAAAAAUUUUGAAUUCAAGUUAACAAGCCCUUAUUAAGCACUUUUAUGUACAAGGGUCUGGGUAUACAAAGACAAAAAGGAAACACAGUCACUGUCCCAAAAGAACUUGAGUUCUACAGAGGAAAGCAACAAACACCCACAGAUAAAUAAAUAUCAGAUCAUUUGUGGGAUAGUCAGAAACCAAGGCAGUGUGGUGCAAUGAAAAGUACUAGGCUGAACCACCACAUCUGGAUUCAAAUCUUGACUCUACUAUUUGCUACAUGGUUUAUUCUUGUGCAAGUUAUUUUAGCUCCCUUUCCCUCCGUUUCCUUAUCUAUAAAAAUAGAUUAGAAAAGAUGUUUUCAAAUGUCCCUUCUAGUUCCAAAUGUAUGAUACUACUAAGAAAUGUUGGAAUUGCUGUGGUGCAAAUGGGCAUAAUUUGAGACUUUAAAAAAAUAAUAAAGCCUCACCUCAAAGUUUCUUAUAUUGGACCCCCCCAAAAGGUAAAGGAGCUUCUUUUUUUGGCAGGUAUUUUAUUUUAUUUUUCCCCUUUUUAAAAAAUUUAGCAUAUUUUUCCAUGGUUACCUGAUUUAUGCUCGCCCCAACUCUUUCCUCUCCCCUCCCGAAGUCAACAAGCAGUUCCACUGGGUUAUGCAUGUAUCAUUGUUUAAAAUCCAUUUCCAUAUUCAUAUUUGCAGUAGAGCAAUCUUUUAACAUCAAAACCCUAAUCACAUCCCUAUUGAACUAUGUGACCAAUCAUAUGUUUUUCUUUUGCGUUUCUGCUCCCACAGUUCUUUCUCUGGAUGUGGAUAGCAUUCUUUCUCAUAAGUUUCUCUGGAUUGUCCUGGAUCAUAGCAUUGCUGCUAGUAGAGAAGUCCAUUACAUUUGAUUGUACCACAGUGUAUCAGUCUCUGUGUACAAUGUUCUCUGGUUCUGCUCCUUUCACUCUGCAUCACUUCCUGGAGGUCAUUCCAGUUCCCAUGGAAUUCUUCCACUUUAUUAUUCCUUUGAGCACAAUAGUAUUCCAUCACCAUCAGAUACCACAAUUUGUUCAGCCAUUCUCCAAUUGAAGGGCAUCCCCUACUUUUGCAAUUUUUUUGCCACCACAAAGAGCGCAGCUAUGAAUAUUCUUGUACAAGUCUUUUUCUAAAGGAGCUUCUCCUAGAGCUGAAACUUGAAGGAUACCAAGGAUUGUAAGAGGUAAAUGUGAGCUGGAAAUGCAUUUAAGGCAUAGGAGAAUGACUGGGGUAAAAACACAGAGAUGGCAAAGCUGGACGUGUUGUUGAGUUCUGGAAACAAGUGCCAGGUCAGUUUGGUUGUAAUGCAGAGAGUAUGAAGAGAAAGACUGUGUAAUAAGGCUAGAAAGGCAGGUGGGAGCUGGAUUAAGGAUUUAGAGGUCAGCCUAAAUUUUACCCUGGAGCCUGAGAGUGACUUGCAUGGUUAGACCUAAGCUUUGGCAGCUAGCUCUGUGGAGGCAUGACUGGAGAAGAAAAAGAUUAGAAGCAGAGAAAGCAAUUAAGGGGUCAUUGUAGUAGUCUGGAUGGGGGGUGGUGGUGUAAGCGCCAGAACAGGAUGUUGCUUGUGUGCUUGUGAGGAAGAAGAGGGAGAGAUGUUGUAGACAGAGGGAGAAUGAACAGGCCUUGGCAACUGAUUGUUUAUGGAUUGGGGUAGGUGGGUGUGGAUUUGAGAAAUAGUGAACAGUCCAGAAAGAUUCCAAGGUUGUGAACCUGGAACCCAGGUGGCCGAGAGCAUGGUAGAACCCUUACUGGGGAAAAGAAGCUUUGGAGUGAAGGAGAAGGGGGAAAUGAGUUCCAUUUUGGACAUGCUGAAUUGGAGAUGUUUAUGGGACAUGUGGGAGCUGCUUUUCAGCAGGAAGUUGGUUAAAGUAGGGCUGGAACUCAAGGAAGAGAUUAGGAGUAGAUAUAUCAAUAUGAAAUCAUUUGCUUAGAUGUGACCAUGAACUCACCGGAGCUAUGAAGCAACUAAGUGGUGCAAUGGGUAGAGCACAGCAUCAGGAAUCAGUUCAAAUCUAGCCUCAGAUGCUUACUAGUUGUAUGAACCUGGGCAAGUCACUUAACAGCUGUCAGUCCAAGUUUCUUUAUCUGUAAAACAAGGAUACUUCUAGCACCUAACUCCCAGAGUUGUUUUGAGGAGAAAAUUGGCUGAUGUUUGUAAGCUUAGUAAAGUUUGAAGGGCUACAUAGUUUUAUUAUUCAUAAACGACUGGUAGUAGUAGAAGUAGUCAUUAACCGGCUUCUUAAGAGAGAGACUUUAUGGAGAGAAGUAAAGAAGUCCCAGGAUAGAGCUUUGGAGAAUACUCGUGCCUGGAGGGACCAGAACGGAAGAAGAUCUGGUAAAGGAGCCAGGGAAGGGUUGAUUACAAUGAAAAACAACUCUGAAGUUGAGUGGGAGUGAGGAUGGCUGGAACUGUGGAUAUAAGUGAACUUCUGCUUUGAUUCCCAUAUCUCUGUGGUCUCCCUGCAGUUCAGCUCCGUGUUAGGGGAUAACACCCACCUCUGCAACACCAAGUCCCCCUAAAAAAAGGGAAAGUGGAUCAAGUUAGGGUAGGCUGCUGCUGGUAGGAAGUCCUACAUGGACUUCCCAUGCUUUGGGCAAAUUUCUGACAUAUCGUAGUGGACUUCUGGUGAAUUUCUGAUGGUUUAUGGCAGACUUCCGAUGCUUCUGGUUACCCUUGGAUAAGGGAGACGUGUGAAAGCGAAACCAGGGUUUAAGGGGGUCCUUCUGUAUACACAUUGCUGAUAAGGGGUGAAUAUAAUCAUUGUUGUAUAGGGAGAGUAUUACAUAAAUUAUAUUUAUUUAUUUAAUAUAGUGUUUAUUAUUAUAUAACAACAUAUAUCAUGAUAUAUUGAUAUUAUAUUAUUUACACAUUUAUUUUAUUUUUAAUUUUUAUAAUUUCAUGGUGUCAUGUGUGGGUCAAACCCACUCUGAAAAUCCACUAAGGUUCUGUUUUUCUGUGUCACAGUACUGAUGCAGUGUAAUUAAAAUUGUUCAGGCCAAUUAACACUCCCUCUGAUACUUGGACAAGAAGGCUGCUAGGCAGUAAUUGCAUUAAGACUCCAGAGCCUGUGGUCAGAAAGGAUUUUGACUGUGAUCUGGGUAAUACAGUCUUCAAAGUAGUGCUAGAAAAGGCAGGCCAGGUCCAUCAUUACUUUGAGGACUUCAUUCCACCAGCACCUGAAACACCUUAGGGAAUAUGUUUGAGUUCCUAACAGGGACCCCUAAGUUCCUGAACUCAGAGGACUGUAUAUUCCAGUUUGAUGUUGGGUGGAGGAGCAUUAGCCCAGAUUUGGGUCUUAUUCUUUGGCUGAGCCCAUAACUAAUUAGCCAGGAAGGGCCUUAAUUAAAGUGGUUUGAGUUUGACCAUUUCAAAGGCCAACGAGCCUGGUAUAAGGUGUCUAAGACAGUAAAUAGUGCAUCUCAAAUCAACGUGCCACCCGUUUCCUGACAGUUUACCUACUUGUAAGAUAUUCUACCAGGGAAAGGAAUCAAAACUGCUGAAUAAAACAUGAAGUUUAGAGUAAUUUGUGGAUUUCUACUGUUUGUAUUAAUACUGUCUUGAUUCCCUGUGAGUAGAGGUGCUCAAGACUUGACUAGCUCUAAUUUGAAAAAUGUUUGUGGGUAGGCUUUAUGUGGCUGUGAAAAAAUUUAGUUGGUUUAGUAUGGAGCCACGUCCCCUGGAGUGACAUCAAUAUAUAGUUGACGUGAUGGUAAAAUAAUGUAGUUCCUUGAAAAAGGUCAGGUAACUAAAUCAUGCUGAGUCAUAGAGUCAUCCACCAGAGACAGCAAGGGAAGAAAUUAGGAGGCAGAAAAUUCUCUCUCUCUGGAUCUGUCUCUUCUCUCCUUCCUUUUCCCCCUUCUCCCUCUCUCUCUCUCUCUCUCUCUCUCUCUCUCUCUCUCUCUCUCUCUCUCUCUCUCUCUCUCUCUCUCUCUCUCUCUCUCUCUCUCCUCUUAUCUCCCCCUUUCUUUGCCUCUCCCUCUCUCUGCCUCUCCCUCUCUCUUCCUCUUUACCCUUCUUUUCAUGAAUUUGUGGUCUUUUUAGAUAACAAAAGCAAACUUCUGGCCAGCUUAGUGUAGUAGGAGGGCAGUAGAUUUGGAAUUGGAAAGCCUACUUUCACGCCUCAGUUAUACUGCUCAUCCCUGUUCUCCUGGCCAGUCAUUUCCCUCUCUCAGAAUCUCCAUUUCCUUCCCUGUAAAAUGAUUUCUCUUUCCAGAUCUCAAACCCAACAAUUCUAGUUUGAGAAUCCUAAGAGCAUAGGUAGAUUUUGAGCUUUCAUUUUUCAGAAGAGGAAACUCUGGGGUUCAGAGGGACAGUGGGAAUUUCCCAGUGUUACACUGGUAGAAAAUGACAGAGCUGGGAACUGAGCGCAGGUCUUCUGACUCUUGGUCCUACUGUUCUUUCCACUGCAUCAAGACCAGAAGAAUCUUCUAGGCACAUGCCCUUCUUGAGCAUUAGCAGAAUGACAUUGUUCUGAUAAGACAGCAGGAUGCCAACUAUAUGGUGGCUCAAACUGGUGGACUUAUAGUGCCAAGAGUGUUGAUUACUAGUUGAUUUCAUUACUAGUUGAAUUUCAUUACUGGUAAGAAUGUAUUUGAAAGUUUUUAUUUUUGGUUCAUUUGCUAUGAUGUGGUCUGUAUAUGAUUUCUUGUAAUGUAUAUAGCAUAUCGUAUAUAUUACUCGUAUAUGAUUACCCUAAAUCACAGUUUCUUAGCCUUUGUUGUAUACUGGAUCUCUUUGGCAGUCUGCUGUAGCCUAGGGACCCCUGGUCAGAAUUAGGUUUUUGAAUGCAUACAAUAAAAUGCAUAGUAUUACAAAGGAAUCCAAUCGUACUGAAAUACAGCUAUUAAAAUAUUUCGAAAACAAAUUUACUGACACCAGGUUAAGAACUCUUGCUCUAAAUAAAUAUUUUUUCAGAGAAAGAUACCACUCAGGAAUAGCAUGGUAGAGAGGUUUAUUCCUGCCCUUCUUGGUCAUUUUUCUUCUUUUUUCCAAACCACCCAAGGUUAUUUGUUGCUAAGCCAUCAUCUUUUAUUAAUCAGAGUAGAAACCACAUGACUAGAGGUCAAGGAGAAGUGCUAGGAGUUAGUAGACAGCCCUCUAAACCUCUAAAACAUAAACUGUGAUGGGAACAGCACAAUGGUGACUGGUAUAAUACACUAUAUUAUAUACUUUCAGAUGAGCCCGUUCUUAGUUCAGUACUUGCUUUGUGACCAUGUUCUAGUCAAUGCAUUUUGGCUAAGAGUCUCUUGUUUUUACCUGGGUUCUUAGAAAAACAGGGAGUUUGGGCCCUUUUGAAUGGCUAUUUGGCUGAAGCAGUUGUGUCUGAGGCCUACCGGUCCCAUAGUCCUUGAAAGAGCCAAAGUCUGCACUUUAUUGAUUAUGAGAAGGAAGACAGUUCUCACUAGGAGCACUGGCUAGACUUCUUUACCCUUUAGGCCUAUGGGGCCUGAGGCCUGGAAGUGCCUAAAAACAUCCUGAGGUCUGUUCCUCUUUGUCUAGAUCACAGUAGAAGGUUUCCUGGAGGGAAGGAGGAGGACUAGGGCACCCAUCUCCCCCUGGAUGGCCUUUAUUGUAAUCUACUGAAGGCUAAAACAACUGCAGGAAGAGGGAUAAGGAGCAGCCUUACAGUUUUUCUGCCUCUGUUCCCUCUGUCAGAAACCAGAGGUGUGCUACGUGAAAAUCUCUCCCAAGUUAGCACAGUCAAAUGCACAUUGAAUCACAUCCAAUGGACUUUGUUUUUUCAAAAAUCCAACUAACCCAGCUAUUUCACUCUAUUAAUAUGUUUAAUCUGCCCUCAUCCUAAUGCAUUGGGAGGGUAAUGACUUCAUAUUAAUGUCUAGCCACUUGUAAAUUGAGGAAAGUGUCCUAGUAAGUCAGCUUCUACCUUUGGAUUGUUUGAUUAUAGUGAUAACUAAGGGCAUAAUAAAUAAUUUAUGACUCUUGCCUAUUUGAGGGGCAGGGUGGUACACAAGUGUCUAGAGGACCUUCCUUGGAGUCAGGAGGAUCAGGGUUUAAGGCUCACUCUUCAGUCAUACUGGCUGUGUGACCUUGUACAAGCUGCGUGGCCACACACUGUUCUGGGCCAUUCUCCAAGAUGGUGCCUCACAGAUGAGAUGCUGCAUCAGUAAAAUCGCCACCCUUAAAUCUAUCUGUGAUUUUACAGGAACUACCUUCCUUUAUCUCCAAACAACUAACAACAAUAGCGAUAGCAAACUUCCCCAAAACAAAACUCUACCCCAGAAAACUUACUUUCUGGAGAUAGAAAAUAGAUUAAGACUUGAUUAUUUCAGUUGCUAUCUCUGGAUUUCAAUUUUCUUAUCUCUAAAAUGUAGAGUCAGAUUGGUUAUCUAAGGUCUAAGAUUUUUUAAAGGCAAAUUGUAACCUUUAGUGUGAUAAGCAGUGUGGAACAGUAGAAAGUACAUUGGUUCUGAAGUCAGAGGACCCAAUUUAAAUUUGGAUUCUGAUACUACCUGGGCCUUAGUUUCUUCAUCUGUAAAAAGAGGAGGUUGAACUAGAUGGUCUCUGAGUUCCUUUCAUCCAUUAAAUCUAUGAUCGCUGUCACAGUUUGUAGUGAACUUAUUUGUUUAAGAUGUUCAUAUACAUAUUAAAUCCCUUUAACAAUAUUCUGAUAGAAUAAAAAGGCCCUGAGCUAUGUAGGCCUUCCAGGCUGCUGUACUGGCACCAAGGUGCAAUGGAGCAUAGUUGGACCAAAGCCUCUGGUGGAUUCCUUUAAAAAGAGAUUUGAUUGAUAUCUUUUGUUUUUAUGUCUCCUAGGUCUCUGUCUCCCCCUGCCCUGCCCCAUCCUUUCUAACAAAGAAUUUUUUCAAAAAGGAAAAAACAGGGGAAAUAUCAGCAAAACUCAUGGGUACCCUGAAAAAAUCUGACAUAUUCAGUAUUGCACAACCAUAGACACCCUCCCCUCCACCCCCUAACCCCCUCCCAACCUCCUCAAAAGGCAGGGCAGGAGUGUCCUCUCAUGUCUCAUCUUUGCCAGCCAAGCUUGCUCUUUAUAAUUUUGCCUCGUUCAUUGUCAAAUAUUUUAGGGCAGUGGUUCUUUCAUCAUUGUCAUCAUCUUGUGUAUUAUUUUCCUGGCUCUGUUCAUAUCACUUUGCAUCAAUCUAUUCAAGUCUUUCUUUGUGUUUUGGUGAUGAUCAUGUCCUUUAUUUUUUAGAGCUCAGUGAUAUUCCUUUCCAUUCUUCUCCGGUUUGUUUAGCCGGUUCUUUUUGGAUGGUUACUUUCGAGCUACAGUUAUGUGCAGUGCCUGAAGUGAGCCAGUCUAGAGUGGUUUCAUGUUGGUCUGGAAAGUAGGAUUGGAUCCUUCUUUUCUUUUUGUUUUUUAAGCUGGCUGAGUAGCAAGAAAAGACUCUCAGCUUCUUUUCUUACCAGUAGUCCAGUUCCUAUUUGUUAUGGAACUAUAGGAAAGGAUGUUUGACUUAAAUCCAAAGGUUUUACAUGUUGCAAAAUCUAAUUUUGUUAGGGGUCCUAAAGCAUUUGCUCAGGCAUGUUUGGCCUUCUUUUUUAAAGAAUAUCAGCCAGGAAAUUGGAGGUUGUCACAGCACAGGAGAUAAUCUAUACCAAGUGCUUAGGAAAACUUAAAAAUGACUUUAUAACUGUCAAUGGCCACUGUCAUUGUUACAAGCUUUUGGAUACUUGGGAAAAUGCGGUCAUUAUUUGCUACUUACCUGGGGUCCACAGAGAGAUUUCAUGUCUGUGAAUGUGGAUAGAAAAACAAACGACAUCUUUAUUUUCCCAGACUUCUUACUGAAAUUGAAUGUUUCCUUCAAUUAUUUCAAAAUAUUAUUUUGAGAAGGGAAAAUGUUCUGAGGAGAGAGCCUAUGGGUUUCACCAGGCAGCUUAAGGGAUUCAUGGCAAAAAAGUCAAGAACCCCUGCUUGAAAGUGUACACGUUACACACAUACACAUUCUCUAAAACUAUCCAAGGUUCCAUAAGAAAAGGAAAUCAUUUUCUAUUUUGGUGGGGUAUAGGCCUGACAUUGGGGUCACUGAGUCAAAGGUUAUGCACAAUUGAAUGACUUUGGGGGCAAAGAUGUAAAGUACUUUCCAGAAUUGAUGAGCCACUUCACAACACCACCAACCAUGUAUUAGUGUGCCCAUCCCACAGCAUCCUCCCUCCUCCAAAUUGUGUUUUUAUUGAUCUUUUUUCACCUUACUAAAGUACCAUGUGAGGUAAUAAUUGUGCUAGAAGAACUAAAUUCUCAUCAGAUCCUCAGCUUAUCUGCAGGGGUCUAAACUUUCCAUGCAAAUGAUGGAGUUUCCUGCCCCCUCCCCCAAGUCACACAACUCUCUGAUUGCGAUUUAAGCAGCUCUUCUCCCCUAAUUCUUUUCCUCUAGCCCUUAUGAUCAAAGGAAUUUAAAACUUAAAUAGGAAAUCAUGAACUUUGGGACGAAAAGAAAACAAAUCUCAGACCUCUUCAAUCACUUCCAAAUCAUCUCCCUUUCAUUCACUAAGCAGUCAUUUUCUGGAGAAAUGAUUGAAGGAAGAGAGGACUUUUAGGAAAUGUAGAUUCAAAUUGCUUUUGUCGUUUUAGUAAAAGUGGCUUGAGAUAAAUGAAGGUUGUUAAAUGUGUUGAUGGAGUAUGCUUACUAUUUGCCCAAUUCCUCCUUCCCCCUCCCCACCCCCUUUUUUAGUAUGGGGAAUCAAUUUCAAGGGUCUGAUUAAUUGGUACCUUGUAGAUGGGUUGCCAGAGUGGCUGUGACUGAAAAAUUCAUCAGCCUGAGACCACCCUGAUUGGAUUCCUUUCUAAACUUAAUUUAGACUAGUCCUUAGGUGACAAAGGCCACCAUCAGGCCCAUCCCCAAAUCCUUGUAUUCCCAUAGCAUAAAUUUCAAAAUUGUGCUCCAUAAUGACCAAAUGAGGGAACUGAGAAAGCUUGCCCUGGAGAAGAGAAGAUUUGAGAGGAAAGGGGACAUGAUGUCCAAAGUUUCAGAUAUUUGAAGGACGGAUGUAUGAAAGAGGUUCAAUUUGUUUUGUGUGAUUUCAGAGACCAGAACAAAGACAAGCAGAUAAAAGUUACAGGGAGGUAGACUGCCUUAGGAAGUACUGAACUCUCUGUCCCUGGAGAUUUUCAAACCGAGAUUGGAAGAACACUUUUUUAGGAACAGUUAUCUAUAUUAUCUAGGGGCUAUCUGACCUUCAGAUGUCAGGACAUCCUGUGUUCUUGAGAGAGCGGGAGACCGGUUGUGGGGGGAUGAGUUUGGACUGGUGCAGAACUAAACUACACAUUUGCCACUGUCACUUUUUUUUUGAUCCUCCAUCAUUCCUUCAGCCUCCUAAGCUACUAUUGACACCAACCCUAAAGCACACUUCAUUGUGUUCCUAAAUGCCUUUAGGAAUCUCAGACAUCUGUUUCCCAUAAGCUUGGUGGCCACUUUUCCCUUCCCAUCAGACCCUUCAUAGUUACUUAUGCUUCUGAUGAUAACUUCUUUUCCAAUUCUGCUAUAUUUCUAGGUAAGAAAGGGGGAGCAAGAACUCUGUCCCAACUUUUGGUUGGGGAAACUGACAAAAUGCAAAUUGACUUUAUCUGCUUACAUUAUAGAAGACUGCAGUUCUGCUUACUGUUCAAACAUGCCAUUACAGCACUGUUUAAGUAGCAAAGAGGUGCUAUCUUUUCAACCCCUAUAAUCCUCCAGGUUGCACUGCCCUAGGGAACUGACACGAGCUUUUAGGUACUUGGGGAAACGUGGUCAUUAUUAGCUAAAAAUGGAUUAAACCGAAAAAUGACAGGCCCCGACUUUCAGAGUAAAUUGUACAGUACGUGUCUCUAAAGAUACAUAGGAUGCUUUUGACAUCAAUUGACCAUACUUCCAUUAAGCUACCCAAUUCUGUAUAAUUUGUACUGAAAUUUUAAAGGUUAUUUCGCAUAAGUAGACAAAAUGAAAUAUUUUUUAACCGGAACAUUUUUUUUUGUCAAACACAUAUAUGCAAUCAGGACCAAUGGGGAGCUGUGUGACCUCAAGUCCAUACUUGCUAUUUACAUAAUUUUGAAAAGUACAAAGUUGAGGUGCAUUAUUUAAAGGAAAACAUUUAGAUGACAAAGUUCUAUGGCUGGAUACAACUUGUACAGAACUUUGCUUGAUUUUUAGCUUUUCCCAAAGAUAACAUUCAGUAUGAUUUUUAACUUACUGUACAGCCUAAAAAUUGGUUAUAAAAAUGUAUAUAUUAUUAUAUUAUUUUAGAUGUAUAGUAGAUGUCAUAAAUAUAUUUUUCCAAUUACACAUAAAAUAAUUUUUAAUGUUUGUUGUUAAAAAUUUCAAGUUUUAAGUUCUCCCCUUCUUUCACUGUUCUCCCCCCUCCCAGAGACAACAAGCAGUUUGAUAUAGGUUAUGCAAAGUUAUGCAAAGUCUAUUUUCAUAUUAGUUAUUUAGUAAAAGAAAACACAGACAAAAACUCCCCCAAAAUAAAGUAAAAAAUAGUAUGCUUUCAUCUGCAGUUCAACUCUAUCAAUUCUUUCUUGGAGGGGGAGUGGAUAACAUUCAUCAUAAGUCCUUUGGAAUUUUCCUGGAUCAUUGUAUAGCUGACAGUUGCUAAGUCAUUCAAAGUUAUCAGCAGAUAAUAUUUGCUGUUAUUGUGUUCAAUGUUCUCCUGGUUCACUUCACUCUGCAUCAGCUCAUAUGUAGGUCUUUCCAGCUUGUUCUGAAAUCAUCUUGCUUAUCAUUUCUUAUAGCACAAUUGUAUUCCGUCCCCAUCAUACACCACAGGUUGUUCAACCAAUUCCCAACUGGUCCCUCAAUUUCUAAUUCUUUGCCACCACAAAAAGAGCUACCAUAAAUAUCUUUGUACAUAUAGGUCUUUUUCCUUUAAAAAAUCUCUUUGGGAUCCAGAUCUAGUAAUGAUAUUCUCAGAUCAAAGGGUGUGCACAAUUUUUAGCCGUUUGGGCAUAGUUCCAAAUUGCUCUCAGGCAUGGCUGGAUCAUUCACAAUUCUACCAAUAGUGCAUUAGUACCCCAAUUUUCCCACAUCCCCUCUAAAAUUUAUCAUUUAUCUUUUCUGUCAUUUUAGCCAACCUGAUAAAUAUGAGAUGGUACUUCACAGAGUUGUAAUUUGCAUUUCUCUGAUCAAUAGUGAUUUAGAACAUUUUUUCAUACAGCUAUAGAUAGUUUUGAUUUCUUCAUCUGAAAACUCCCUAUUUAUUCCUUUGACUAUUUAUCAAUUGAGGAAUAGCUUGUACAGAAUUAAUUUUUAUUUUAUUUUUUACCAAUUACAUCUAGUAACAAAUUUCCAUAUAAGUCUUCCAAAGCUAUUAUGAUCCAAAUUGUAUCCCUCCUUCCUUCCCUCCCUGAUCUCGGAGCUAGCAAGGAAUUCAAUCUGAGUUAUACAUGUACUAUCAUACAAAACAUAUUUCCAUCCUCUUCAUUGUUGUAAGUGAGUAAUCUUAUAAAACCCAACCCCUCAAAUAAAAAUCCAAAUAAAGUGAAAUAUCAUAUGCUUCGAUAUGCAUCUCAACUCCAACAGUCUUUCCUCUACAGGUGGAUAACUUUCUUUGUCAUAAGUCCUUCAGAAUUGUCCUGGAUUAUCAUAUUGCUGAGAGUAACUAAGUCCAUCACAUUUGAUCAUUCCACAGUGUAGCUGUUCCCGUGUACAAUGUUCUCCUGGUUCAGUUUAUUUUACUCUGCAUCAGUUCAUGGAGGUCUUUCCAACUCUUUCUGAAAUCAUCUUGCUCAUCAUUCCUUACAGCAUAAUAGUCAGAAUUAAUAUUUUAAUGAAAAUUACUUUCCUCAUGAUUUUAUAUUCAUUAGUAAUGACUUAAUAAUGUUUUUUCAAGGCUCUUUUGUGGGUUUGAGUGCUACCUCCAGUGAUACAGAUUAUAAUCUCUUCACCCUUAGAAUAGUGUCUCCAUAAUAGAAGACACCUAAAAAAUGUUUGUUGGCUUAUAAACAAUUGUCUGAAUAAGAUUCUUGUAGUAUCAUCUCACAAGGUCUUUGUGAGCCUUAAUUAACAUAAUGUAUAUGAGGGCGUUUGCAAACUUUAAUAUAAAGCCCUAAAUAAGUGCGGGUAAGCAUUAUUCAUUAGGUCUCAUGGCUGAAAAAAUUCCCAGAAUCACAGAAAGGAAGAAACUAAAGGGCCAUCUAGUUUAUCCCCUUUAUAAUAUGUUUGACAGGUGGAAUCCAACCUGUUCUUUUUAAAAAAAAUUUUUUAAACCCUUACUUUCUAUCUUAGAAUCAAUACUGGGUAUUGGUUCUAAGGCAGAAGUGUGAUCAGGGCUGUGAAAUGGGAGUGAAGGGACUUGCCCAGAGUCACACAGCUAGGAAGUGUCUGAGUUCAGAUUGGAACCCAGGACCUCUCAUCUCUGGGCCUGACUCUCAAUCCACUUAGCCACCUGGCUCCCCCCACCCCAACCUGUUUUUGAAGACCUCAAGUAAGGGAAAAUCAAGUGUCUCCUAAAGCAGUCCAUUCCCAUUUGUCUCUACAAUUUCCACUUGGCCCUCUGGGACCAAGAAUGAGUUAAAUCCCUCUUCCACAUAUUAUUUCUUGGAAGAUAGCUCUCACUUGCUCCCUUAAAUCUUCUCUUCUUCCAAGCUAAAUGUUCCCAGUUCCUUCACUCAAUCCUCCUAUGGCCUAGACCAAUGAUGGUGAACCUUUUAGAGGUGGAGUGGCAGGCCCUGCCCCCACCCCACUCCCAGACCAAGUGCUAUGCCCACCCCCCACACAGGGGAGGGAGAAAGCACUCCAGCUGAAGUGCUGGGCAGAGGAGUGGGUAAAGUGAGGAAUGUCCUCAGUGAGUGUAGAGAGGGGGAGAGGAGUGGCCCGAGUGCUCUACUUUCUUCCAGCUCUGCCCUCUGUGAGUUGCCCUCCUUACCCCCUAUGCACUCCCAUUGGCUGCUGGACAGAGGGGUGGGGGAUGUGAAAAAAUGUCACCAGGAAUGGUGGAGAGGGGCAGAGGAGUAGCUCUGUCCAAGGCCCUCUGCUUUUCCAGUAAUGAACUCUGGGGGUGGAGGGGGCAACUGUGUGCCCACAGAGUGCUGUGUACCAUCUUUGGCACCCAUGCCAUAGGUUCACCAUCACUGGCCUAGAUCUUCACUGUCCUUUUCUUCUCUCUAAAGACUCAGUUUCUCAGUGCCUUCCCCUAAAAUAUGAUUCCUGUUGCCAGUCUCAGGUUGAUGAGUUCUCUCCAAACUUUGGUAGACUGGUCCCCAAAUAGCAUGCAGCCUUUGUUAGUGAAGCCUUUGCAAAAAAAAGGGAUUGUAUAUAGAAAUGGGAUUCACACAUCUCUGAGAUACCAGCUCACACUGAUGAAGUUGGCGAUUGCUUUGAAGUGGUUUUGCUUGAUUGUUUUGAGGGGAAUAUCAUUUGGUUGUGGGAGGAGGGAUUCUUUGACAAUGAUUUGAGGACUGUCACAUCAGAACAAAAUGUAUAAAGGAAAGAGAUUUUUCAGUAUGCAUUUAUCAUAGAAAUGCUUCACUUGUAUUUCUUCAUUACAUAAGAGAAAUAAUUUAGAAAACAGUUAGUUGGAUUAAUUUUAUACUGGAUCUUUCCUGGAAACUUUCUGAGAGAAGAUAAAUCAAGAGUCAUAUCACAUUGGAGGGUGCGGGGAGGUUUUGAUCUGUAGCACUGAAAUAAGGGAGUCCCCACAUGGCAAGAGUGGUGGAGUACAUUACAUUUCUAAAAGCAUCCAGACAAAAUGAAACAAAUAAUACACUGUUUUAUUUAUCUAACAAAUAGUAGGCAUUCACUAACUAUUAGUCAAAUUUUGUCCUGGCUCCCAGGAGAUAGAGAGCAGAGUGGGAGGGGUGGUCAGGAGACCCAAAGCCUUGUCUUGCCUUGCCUCUGCCACAAACCAGUUCUGUGACCUUGGGCCAAACACUCCUUCUCUGGCCUUCAGACUCCUUAACUGUAAAAUGCAACAAUUGAAUUAUAUGAUUUCCAAGGUUUCUUUCAGCUCGUUAUCUACUCUACCAAGCAUUUGUGAAGCUCCCAUUGUGAGUGAGGUACUGUGGAUACCAAGAUAUUGGGAAAACCAGGGCCUGCUUCUUGGGGCCUUCCUUUCCUCUGCCCUAACGUGCUGCCAUUCACUUCAAGAAGCUUUCCAAAUAGGAAGGCAAUAUAGGGUAUACUGGAAAUAUCAGUGUACCAGGAAUUAAGAGACCUAGCUUUGCAUCCUGCUGUGGCUAUACUUAGCUCUCUGGCCUUGGACAAGUCAGCUAGCCUCUCUGGGUCUAUUUCUUCAUCUGAAAAAGUAUUUCUAAGUUUUCUUCCAAUUGUAAGAUGCUGUGAAUUCUAAUCGGUAAGGGGUAUACUCUAUAGUUAAGCAGUGGGAUGAUCCUGGAAAUGGAAACCAAGGCAGGCAGAUGUUAUCUGUUGAUCCUCCUUAACAAAGUCACACAGGUGGCUGGAAGUGGCUGGACUCGGGGUCAGGAAGAUCUGAGACUGAACCCAGCAUAGAAUCUGAUCCCUGGCAAGUCACUUAACCCAUCUCAGCCUCCCUUUCCUGAUCUGUAAAAUGAGAAUAAUCUUAGCACCUACCCUCAUAGUGUUGUUGUGAGAAUCAAGUGAGAUAACAGAUGUAGAGUGCUUUGUAAACUUUUAAGUACUAUGUAGAUGGCAGCUAUUAUCAUUAUUGCCAGGCAUAAUGUGUUAAAUUCUGUUAGAGAGGUAUUUGUGGGAGGAAGAUUUUGACAAACAAUCAGGGAACGCAUAGGCAUCCAGGAGGAGGGAGCAGCAUGAACAAAGACAUAGAAGCAGGAGAAUAUGCUUCUUCAUAGCUUUUUGGAAGCAAGUGUGGGAUAUCAAGCUUCAAAACCUGAAUAAAAAGUAACCCUCUACAUUCAUGCAUGCUCAUUAAAUGCCUGACAAACCGCAGUGUUGUCAAGUCAUUGAGAUUUGGAGACAGGUUCUAGGGUAGUUUUAGCCUUGAACUUGCUGGCCAUUGUUGUGAUGUUUCCUAUGAUCUUCAUAUUCUUGUUUAUUUUGAAAAUUGGGGGUUUUUUGAAUUCUUGGCUCUUUUCUGUUGUCUUCACUGUUGGUAGCAACCAUUUUCCACUAGAUGGCAACAUCACCCAUAACUCCCCAAGUAGAGGCUACAUAAUAAUAAUAGCUAGAAUUAUGGAGUACUUUAAAGUUUUUUGAAACACUAUUCCUAUAUUAUCUGGUUUGAUCCUCCCAGAAACCCUGAGGUAGGUGUUGUUAUUACCCCUGUCUUACAGUUGGAAAAACUGAGGAAGGCAGAUGUUAGUUGCUGACCCUCCUAGCAGAGCCACACAAAUGGUUUUCAGUGACUGAGGCAAGACUAAAUCUCAGGCCUUCCAGACUCCAAAUCUGGCAUUCCCCUCCCCACGCUCCCCAUUGUACCUAGCUGUCAUGUAUAAGAUCAGGAAUGAUUUGGGGGAUGAAAGAAUGAAGAUCCAAAAGGCACCUUUGAGAUCUUUUAGUGCAAAGCUUCUUAACCCUUGGGAAUAUGUAAAUGGAUUUCAGGAGGUUCAGGAACUUAAGUGGGAAAAAAAUGACAUUUUUUAUUUUCACUAACUUCUAACUAGAACUUUAUAUUCCUUUCAAUUAUUUACAAACAUUAUUCUGGGCAUGGCUCCAUAGACUUCACCAGACUGCUUAGGGGGUUUACAACAAAAAGGCUUUACAACCUCUGAUCUAAUCACUAGAUUAUUGUCGAUUCCCUCUCAUUUUACAGAUAAGGAACCUGAGGACCAGGGAGAAGUGCCUUCAAGUCUCCAGCUCCCUAGUGGAUAUCUGGAACUAGAUGUCUCACAAAUAUUUCAAACUUAAAAUAUCCAAAACUGAAUUCGAAAUCUUCCUGAACUCCCCUUCCAGGAUUCAUUCCACUACCUCAGGUUCCUAAUGGUUCAUGGGAUUUGAGGGGAUCUGGAGCUGGUCUGGGUCAACUGCCAUGGUGAGUGAUAGGCUCCCAGAGCAGUUGGUAUCAGCCUAAAGAAAUGGGAUUCAGAAGAAGAGAACCCUCUUCCUCUUCCUCAGGAACUCAGCAAGUUGGACUUUGUUCAGCUUGGUGAAUCUGGCUCCCUCUCAGUCACUAUGGAAACUGGGGACUCAAGGAUUCCUAAGAAUAGUUGAGCCUCAGUGAUCUCUGGAUACACAGUCUCUUUCCUUGGGAGCUGGGCUUUGUUUCCACAGUCCCAGUCUCAUUUCUGUGUUUAAUUUCAUCUGUGGAGCCUCCUUUCUUGGACAUCGUUGUUUUGUUGAAUUGUGUCUGACUCUUUGUGACUCCUUGGAGCAUAUUGUCCUUUUCUUGGCAAAGACACUGGAGUAGUUUGCCACUUCCUUCUUCAAUAGAUUAAGGCAAACAGAGGUUAAGUGAUUUGCUCAGGAUGAUAGAGCUCCCAAGUGUCUGAGGCCAGAUUUGAACUUAGGUCUUAUUGACUCCUGGCCUAGCGCUCUGUCUGCUGCGCCACCUAGCUGCCUCCCUUUCUUUGCUAGUAUCAUAUAAUUCCUUUUGAGCUCAGUGGUUUUCUUACUCAUGGAGACUAUAAAACUAAAAAGGAUUUGACUUCAUAGAACAUUCUGGGAGAAGACUGGCUGCUACAUUCUCCCGAAUCUCACAUUUCUUUGCUUCCUUUUUGCCUUCCCAGGUUCCUCUCGUGGCAAAAGCCCCCGAUUGCACUUAAAAUAGAGAAAAACAAACUCCAACAAUUCAGAGACCAGCAACUUUCCUGGAUGAGUAACUCUGACAUCUACGAAGUGCGUGUUAAUUAUUCAACCGAUUCAUUCCAACCAUCUUGAUGAAAACAUCCUCUGCUCUUCAGAAAUUGGCCAGUCUCUAGCGCGCCUCUGUUUGGCUUCCAGAAUAAAUGCCUAGAUGUCAUGCAACUCAGCCUUUUCGUGGAGAACUCAAAAGGAACUCUGAUGUGGGACUAAUUGUUGCAGAGAUACAGGUCCAAGGUCCAUCUGCAAGGCCUGAUGUGACCAUGAAUCUUCCCAUAGGAUAUUAACAUCUGGAAUACAACCCUGCUUUUCCUUCUUCCCAAACCGCUGUUCUUUGGGCUUCUUUCAUUGCUUGGCGGCCCAAUGAGCCUGUCUGUCUCAGGACUGCCCCAGGAGAUAUAUGUCAAAAAAGAUUUCCUCAGGAAGAAGGAGCAGCUUCCAGUCUCCUGGAGUGGGCAACUAGCCGAGACAACCAGGUGGUUGUUUGCAGGCCCCUUGGUGAUGCUGCUGAUCUGGAGAUGUGAGCAAAUAUAGGACUCGGUACACAUAUUUGAGUGUCUUCUUGGAGGUAAGAGAUGAGCAUGAGUGAAACCCAAGAAAGAGGUGAGUCAUCUCAGGUCAUUGUUUUAGGACUGGAGCAUCUGCUUCUGAAAGGUGCUGGUGUCCAUUCUUGGCCAGGAGUACCGUUCUGAGAGUUGAGAGAGGAGUAGGCUUGGAGAAGGGGGCAAGUCACACCCCUUCCCAGCAUCUCCUAGGUCAAACUAUCCCACUGUGAUUUCAUUAUUUCUCCACAAUUGUUGGGAAUUUCCAGAAACCAAAGGACUUUAUGUUUAAAUCCUGAUAGGCUCUGUUGAUUCCAUCAGUUACAAACCCUCUCCACCAACCUAGAUCAAUAACUUGCCAAUAACUUAGUAGAGAAGUCUUGGGCCUGAGAGGUAAAGUGACAAUCCUCAGAGUUCCCCAAGCUAGUGUGAGGCAAAGGGAAGCAUGGACCUCAAGUAUUCUUGACUUCAAGUCCAGCACUUCAAGCCUCCAAGCAAUGCCACUACUAUAGAAACAGAGUAAUACCUUUCAAAUGGAAAGAGUAAUGAUUCCCCCAUUAUUCACCGAUUUGAUUUAUUCAUUCUAUUUCUCUUAGUGCAAAUGCCUAAGAGCUGCCUGCCCUAGUCAAUGUGGCCUACGGCUAAAGUAGUCCCCAGUGUUGUUACCUCUUGGUUUGAGCAGAGCACUAAACAAACCCUUGGUCAUUCAGUCAACAAGUUUUUAUUAAGUAGCAGGUACUGUGCUCAGCCUGGGAGAGUCAAAGGAAGAGGAAAUAUACUGGAUUCCUGCCCUGGGGGAGCUCAUAUUUUAAUGGGGGGAUACAGCAAAUAGAUGGAGUAGAUGGGAGGCAAUCUCAGAGCCAGCACAAGGCCCUCAUCUAGUGCAAAACCUUUAUUUUACAUUUGGGGAAAUGGAGGCUCAAGAAGAUAAUUCAACUUCUCUGUGUUCACAUAGCUAGUUAUUAAAAGACAAAGAGCCAGCUCUCCUGAUUAUAAGCCUCUGGCUCCUUUCGACUAUCUCAUAUAACAUCUUCAUCAGCAUUAGCAUUUUACUACCACUUUGACACAUGAGAUACUGAACAUCAAGAGAGGAUGAUCACAGCUUUGAAAUCAGUUCCCCAGAAUGCUAGACCUUGUACCAGUGACAGACUGAGCUUCACUAUUUUUUUUUAUCUUGAACAUCCAUAGCAGAACUUGCCAAAGAGGGACCUGGACCAAAUCCAAAUGUGGAAGCAGGCCAUAUGAACCACUGGUUAGAUCACCUAUAUUUGAUGAGCAAUGAAAUUCUAUACUGCCUGCUCCUUCAAGUUUUCCUAGUUGUUGACCUAGAAUUCCUUGCUCUCCUGGCCUUUGGGCACUCUUAGAGAGAUGUGAACCGUCAUCCCUAGGUAAGCCUCACCAUCUCAUUUCUCUGCUUCUUCUGCAGGACUGCUGACCAUUCAAGAAGAAAGGAAAAAGAUUAAGCUGAUUUUGCCCUGUAUAAAUUCCUGCUAUCACAGCAUCAUCUGGACCCAGCCCUUGUUGCUACUUUACAGUCUCCUUGUGCUCUGCUAGCCAAUUUCUAUCUCAUUUGCCAUAAUCUCUCUGUUAAGCCUUUUCCUUCUCUCAUUUCUCCCAGUUCACUGCCAAUCUAGUGCAGCAACAAUAAGAAGAGGGACUGGAUCUGGGAAUUCAUUGAUGUAAGGAGCUCCUGAGUGAGGAGACUGCUGCCUUUUUUGCAAUUUAGACUCUUCAGAGAAUCGUCUAGAACACUGAGAGAUUAAGUGACUUGUCCAAGGUCAUAUGGUCAAUCUGUGUUCCAAGGCCAUUUCUCUCUUCACAUCAUCUAUCUAGGAAUCCUAUGAUCAAAGGAAAGGAGGUUAGUCUGGCAUGACCUGUUCUUGAUGAAGUCAUUGCUUUCUUGUCUAGCUGUUGACUUCAAAUUGCUUUAAUAAUAGGUUCUGGAAUUUUGUCAGGAAUCCAAGUCAGAUUCACUGGUCUUUAGCUUGCAGUUUCUGAUCUCUUUGCUUUUCUUACAAAUUGGGGAAAACUUGCUUUUUUUUUCAGCCUUGUAGCUGUUCUUCAUGAGUGGCUCAGUAUUCACAUCUGCCAUUCCUUUCACUACCUUAGGAUGUAGUUUCUCUAGCCUUGGAGACUCACAUUCAUUAAGGACUCCUGGGGAGUCUUUUAUUAUUUCCCUACUUUUCUUGGCAUAAAACUCCUUCUUCAUCUUUUUUGUUAUGUCCUUGUGCUCAAAAGAUCAUUCUUCUCAGAGGAGACAGGAAUUAAAAAAUGAGUUGAGCGACUCUGACUUCCCUCCAUUGUCCAGUGUAGUCCACCUCAACCUGCAGUCCUACCCUGGCUUUGAUCUCGUCUUUUCCCUAAUGUAGCUAAAUCUUACCCCAAAUGACUACUUUUAUUGGAUAUAGUAUUCCUUUCUGGGUUUAGCUUAUUCUGAGCUUUAGCACUCCAGACACUGUUCUUACCAGACUAUGCCACACAUUUGUAUUCAUCCACUUCUCUACCUUUGUUAGCAUUUUCUCUAUUUGAAUGUGUGUAUUGCUCAUGUACGUCUUUUGUAUUUCCACACGAGUCAUCCAAAAUGAGGCAUUUCCACUGAAUCCCAAAGUUCCUUGACUUUUGACUUGCCACUGGACUUCGAUGACUCUGAAAGAGAGAAUGAGACUGACGACUUUGUGUAACUCUACCUCACUUAAAAUCCAAAGUCAGAAGAUGUCACCAGUGAUUUCUUUUAGGAUUUCUUCAAGUACAAAGGAUAGCAGUCAAUGGACCAAUAUCUAUAUCUAUCCUAUCCUAUCCCAUCCUGUCUAUCUGUCCAUUCAUCUCUCUCUCUCUCUCUCUCUCUCUCUCUCUCUCUCUCUCUCUCUCUCUCUCUCUCUCUCUCUCUCU